GAGAGAGAGAGAGAGAAAGAGAUCAUACAGAUGAAAUCAAGACACAAGUUUCUUCAAGGUGAUGUUGAAGCCAAGACCAUCAUGCAGAAGGGCGAAGGUGAAGGUGAAGACUCCAUGGAAGAUUACAAUAAGAGUAAUUGGUUUGUAAUGGAGGCAACGACUACUUCAUCUUCAUCUUCAUCUUAAUUUGGUGCUAUCCUACCUGAGCUUUUUCAACUAUCCUCUUCUUCUUCAUUUUUACUUUGUUUUUAAUUUCUUUCUUUUCUUAAUUUGUUUCUACUUUUAAAGUCUUCUUGACCUUGUAAGACCUUUUCUUGACCUUGUAAGACCCCAUUUUGUGAAUUUUUAUUUUUGUUUUUGUUUUUUAACAAAUUCUAUAGCAGAAUUUUCUGAUAUAGAGUUUGAUCAUCGUUUCUCCCCGGUUCCGCCCAACUCAUCUUCUCCUUCCUUGUCUAUCCCUCCUGAGCUGUUCGAAGCAAAAGUAGCAUACGAUCUUUCUUCAUAAGUAUAAAAUUCUUCAAUUAAACACCAUUUUUGCAAUGUGGGGUUUAGGUUUUUAUCCCAUAAUAUGUAGAUAUUGUAUCAUGAGUUUGAGAUGAGAGUUCUGUAAAAGAGUACUACUUCUACAGUUCUACUUGAAGCAAUUGUAAUAAAAAGUCUCUGUGUUUGUGUGUAUAGUUUGUUUUGUUUUGUUUUCUUUAUGUAUUUGACAGUGAAAACACUAUUUCAUAUUCUGUUAAGACCAUCAAUUUCAAUUGUUAUUA